rnacentral:rRNA from 1 species
CCUACGGGUGGCAGCAGUGGGGAAUAUUGCGCAAUGGGGGCAACCCUGACGCAGCAACGCCGCGUGAUUGAAGAAGGCCUUCGGGUUGUAAAGAUCUUUAAUCGGGGACGAAUUUUGACGGUACCCGAAGAAUAAGCUCCGGCUAACUACGGCCCAGCAGCCGCGGUAAACCGUAGGGAGCAAGCUUUAUCCGGACUUACGGGGAGUAAAGGGCGGGGAGGCGGGCAUGCAAGCCAGAAGUGAAAUCUGGGGGCUUAACCCGCGAACUGCUUUUGGAACUGGGUGUCUUGAGUGAUGGAGAGGGAGGCGGAAUUCCAAGUGUAGCGGUGAAAUGCGUAGAUAUGGGGAGGAACACCAGUGGCGAAGGCGGCCUGCUGGACAUUAACUGACGCUGAGGCGCGAAAGCGUGGGGAGCAAACAGGAUUAGAUACCCUUGUAGUC